UACGUAGGGUGCGAGCGUUAAUCGGAAUUACUGGGCGUAAAGCGUGCGCAGGCGGUGAUGUAAGACUGAUGUGAAAUCCCCGGGCUUAACCUGGGAACUGCAUUGGUGACUGCAUUGCUGGAGUAUGGCAGAGGGGGGUGGAAUUCCACGUGUAGCAGUGAAAUGCGUAGAGAUGUGGAGGAACACCGAUGGCGAAGGCAGCCCCCUGGGCCGAAUACUGACGCUCAUGCACGAAAGCGUGGGGAGCAAACAGG
rnacentral:rRNA from 1 species